rnacentral:rRNA from 1 species
GGAGGAAUAUUGGACAAUGGGGGAAACCCUGAUCCAGCAAUGCCGCGUGUGUGAAGAAGGCCUGCGGGUUGUAAAGCACUUUUGGCAGGGAUGAAAAGCACUGGCCUAAUAAUCCAGUGCAUUGACCUAACCUGCAGAAGAAGCACCGGCUAACUCUGUGCCAGCAGCCGCGGUAAUACAGAGGGUGCAAGCGUUAAUCGGAAUUACUGGGCGUAAAGCGCGCGUAGGCCGUCGAGUAAGUCGGUUGUGA